UGUUUGUCCCUUUGCUUGGAUAGGUCCCUUCUGGAGAGCAGUAAAGUGGAAUGCCUUUCUACCCAAGGGUCUUGGCUUUUUCACCUUCUGUCCUGCAUGGCUUUACCUUCUGAGUCCCUUUAGCCUUCACCCCCGAGGAGCUGGCCCUGGAAGCAGAGGUCAGUGCUCUCCCACAGUUCCACGCCAGCUGUGUGCUUCUCCUGCUUACGUCAUUCUGAAGCUGGCCACAUAGCGUGCAAGCCUGGCCCCUCUCAGCAGCUUCAGUUGCUCCACGACCACCUUGAACUCGCCACCUGGGAAUCUGUUUCCCUGCGCAGCUAAUCUCUCUGCUCACAGCCUGCUGUUCUCACCCGGCUUCCUAGCCUGCCAUCUCACUCUCACCGCUGCUGCCUGCAACCCAGGCUUCCCAUCUUAGGAGAAAAUCUGCACUGUGGUCAGCAAGGCUCGCAUGUACAGUGUCAUAUUAUAGGCGCGUGGUGUGGCACAUACCUAGAGCUUUCUUUCUCAUCUGACAUGACUAAAAUUGUACACCACGGAGCAGUUCAGAUUUCCUCAGCCCUGCAGCCUUGGGCUACCCCCACUGUCCCCUCCUGGAGUGCAUCGUGUAGGGACGGUGUAUAAACCAUUAUGUCUAGAGGAGACUUUUCACUGUCUGCCCUUCAGAGCCUGAUUUGUUUGGCUUAGCAUAUUCUCCAGUUUUGCCCAGGCACACACAAGAGUGUCUCUUUCUCUCAAAUCUGACUGUGUGAUAUGUACACAUCAGGAUUUCUUCGUUCAUUGACCAGUGGACAUUUGGGCUAUUUCCGCCUCUUGGCUACUACAGACAGUGCAGUGAUGGGCUUAUGAAUACAAAUAGCCCUUCGUGGCGCUGUUUGCAAUUAUUUGGGCGUAUGGAAUCAUGGGGUUGUUCUACUUUUAGUCUCGGAGUUGGUCUCUAGCUGCAGUACCACCUUACACUCUCCCAAGACUGGCUCUGCUCUCCCCUUAUCAUCGACAGUGUUUGCAGCAGCCAUCUUUCUGGGCUGGGAUGCCAUGUCUCAGUGAAGUCUUGUUUUACCUUUGGGAGAUGACUCGUGCUGUCCGGUAUCCUUAGCAACUUGUAUGUCUUCUUUGGAGAAACUCUCAGCCUAGUCUUUUCGUUUUGUUUUGAUUUGAUUUUAAAUCCAAUUAUUUGGGGCUACAAUUCCUUAUAUAUUUAGGAUAUUGACUGCUCAUCAGGUUUAUAGCUUGUAAGUACUGCCUUUCCGUCUGUGGCUGUCUUCACGCUCUGUUCAUUGUUUCCAUCUAUUGUUUUGGGAACCGAAGCCAGGGUCUCCUGUGUGUUAGAUUAGUUCUCUAGAGUGUUACCUGCUCCCGGUGAUUAGUUCUUAUAAUUGGUCCUCAGUAAAUACACACGAGCCCUUCCCUCGUGGCACAUUUAGAAGGUUCUCCUGUGGCUUUUAUGAAUGGUGUGAGAAUUGCCCCUUUUGCCUCUCUGCUGUUCCCAGGAGAUAAGGCGUGAUUGUAGGUAAGAUGCUGUAGCAGCCUUCUUUGCUCAUUUACAAUGGACAGAAUUGAGUUGCUCACAGCCCUAGAGGCCAGAAAGGGCAAUAUCCAGGUAUUGUCGGAGCGGGUGUCUCAGAGGGGCUGCCUCGUCUCCUGUCCAGCCUAGGACGCUACACCGUGCAGCGGGGAGAGGCUGUUCUGAAUACUAAAAAGUUCAAGAGCCACAGAGAAAACGCAGUCACCUCUCUGUCAACGAUGGCGGAGCCUUCAAGACCCCAUCACUUCCUAAAGGCCCAGCCUUCAAAAAUCAUUCCCCAGAGGUGGGCAUUUCAGAAAGAGCAGUGCGAGGACAAACAGGAACCACCAGGAGGAAGACAUUAUUACUGCUCUUCCCUGAUUCUGGAUUAUCAGUGAUGUGGAGGCAAACAAAUCCUUGGUUCUAUUAUCAUGUUUGUUUAGUUUGAAUCUCUGUCAUAAAGGUUUACAGCUGAUACCAAACACACUCAAUGCCCUCUGCAUCCUAUGACUCAGGAGGUCAUGUUUUUUGGUUUUUGGGUUUUUUUGUUUGUUUGUUUUGGGUUUUUUUUUUUUUUUUGGCUGUUUACUGUAAAUUAAAGGAGAAAAGUUACUCCAUGAGUAUACCCUACCUUUUCAUUGUGAAAAUUUUCAGACAUGAAUAUGUAUUGAACUAAUCUGCCCAAGUACACAUCAUUGAAAUCCAGCAUGUAUUCAAAUCUGACUUGUUACCCAUAUCCAAAUAAAAUUUAUUUUUAAAAGA
rnacentral:lncRNA from 1 species